GAUCCUGCCGGAGGUCACUGCUAUUGGGAUUCGACUAAGCCAUGCGAGUCGAGAGGGUUCGGCCCUCGGCUGACGGCUCAGUAACACGUGGAUAAUCUGCCCUAAGGUGGAGGAUAACCUCGGGAAACUGAGAACAAUACUCCAUAGGUCUAGGAUGCUGGAAUGCACUUAGGUUUAAAACUCCGGUGCCUUAGGAUGAGUCUGCGGACUAUCAGGUUGUAGUCAGGGUAAUGACCUGACUAGCCUACGACGGAUAUGGGUUGUGAGAGCAAUAACCCAGAGAUGAUAUCUGAGACACGAUAUCAGGCCCUACGGGGCGCAGCAGGCGCGAAAACUUCACAAUGUGCGAAAGCACGAUGAGGGAAUCCCAAGUGCUUGCACGUAAGUGUAAGCUGUUUCUUUGUUUAAAACGCAUAGAGAGUAAGAGCUGGGUAAGACGGGUGCCAGCCGCCGCGGUAAUACCUGCAGCUCGAGUGGUGGCCGCUAUUAUUGGGCCUAAAACGUCCGUAGCCGGUUUAAUAAAUGCCUGGGUAAAUCGUGUAGCUUAACUAUACGAAUUCCGGGUAGACUGUUAAACUUGAGAUCGGGAGAAGUUAGAGGUACUCCUGGGGUAGAGGUGAAAUUCUGUAAUCCUAGGGGGACCACCGGUGGCGAAGGCGUCUGACUAGAACGAGUCUGACGGUGAGGGACGAAGCCCUGGGGCGCGAACCGGAUUAGAUACCCGGGUAGUCCAGGGUGUAAACGCUGCUUGCUUGAUGUUAGUUGGGCUCCGAGCCCAAUUAGUGUCGGAGAGAAGUUGUUAAGCAAGCUGCCUGGGAAGUACGGCCGCAAGACUGAAACUUAAAGGAAUUGGCGGGGGAGCACAGCAACGGGUGGAGCGUGCGGUUUAAUUGGAUUCAACGCCGGG
rnacentral:rRNA from 1 species